AGUCUCUCUCAAAUUGAAGACAAUUCUCAUGUUGCAGUCUCCCACAUGCCGCAGGAAAUUCCUUACAGUUCCAGAAGCUGGUCAGUCCAAGGUAUCCCCUCUUUGGUGAAAGCAUUUGUCACCAUGGCAUCUCAUGGCAAAGGACAGAUGGCUUUCACUGAAUGUGGAGGGCAUCAACUGUCCGGAGCAGCUGACUAGGACUUCUCUACCCUCCCAGCACUGGUUUCCGGAUGUGCUGCCACAGCAAGCACUUUAAGCACUGGGCCAUCUCCCCAGCACCUUAAAUAUGUCUUAAUUCUUAAAUUCCUUAAGUACUUUUUCCUUUCUGAGUUUCUUUCAAGAGGCCCAACCUUUCUUCCCCUUAAACCUGAAAAUUUUGUUUUUCUCAAAUUUACUUCAAAUGGAUUUUAAGUAUACCUACCAUUCUUUCCUUUGCUAUUAUAUAAACUUCAAGAUGGCAAAGCA